UGGGGAAUUUUGGACAAUGGGGGAAACCCUGAUCCAGCCAUCCCGCGUGUGCGAUGAAGGCCUUCGGGUUGUAAAGCACUUUUGGCAGGAAAGAAACGUCGCGGGUUAAUACCCCGCGAAACUGACGGUACCUGCAGAAUAAGCACCGGCUAACUACGUGCCAGCAGCCGCGGUAAUACGUAGGGUGCAAGCGUUAAUCGGAAUUACUGGGCGUAAAGCGUGCGCAGGCGGUUCGGAAAGAAAGAUGUGAAAUCCCAGAGCUUAACUUUGGAACUGCAUUUUUAACUACCGGGCUAGAGUGUGUCAGAGGGAGGUGGAAUUCCGCGUGUAGCAGUGAAAUGCGUAGAUAUGCGGAGGAACACCGAUGGCGAAGGCAGCCUCCUGGGAUAACACUGACGCUCAUGCACGAAAAGCGUGGGGAGCAAACAGGAUUAGAUACCCUGGUAGUCCACGCCCUAAACGAUGUCAACUAGCUGUUGGGGCCUUCGGGCCUUGGUAGCGCAGCUAACGCGUGAAGUUGACCGCCUGGGGAGUACGGUCGCAAGAUUAAAAACUUAAAUGAAUUGACGGGGGUGCAU
rnacentral:rRNA from 1 species